rnacentral:rRNA from 1 species
GUGCCAGCCGCCGCGGUAAGACAGAGGGGGCAAGCGUUGUCCGGAUUUACUGGGCGUACAGCGCGCGCAGGUGGUCGGCUAUGUGCCGUGUGACAAGCGGAGGCUCAACCUCCGAGGGCCACGGUAGACAGGCGGACUAGAGGCAGGGAGAGGGUCGUGGAAUACCCGGUGGAGCGGUGAAAUGCGUAGAGAUCGGGUGGAACACCAGCGGCGAAGGCGGCGACCUGGCCCUGAACUGACACUGAGGCGCGAGAGCGUGGGGAGCAAACAGGAUUAGAUACCCGCGUAGUCC